rnacentral:lncRNA from 1 species
AUUUGUUUAAAAAAAGUACAUCUCGGCCCUAAAGCCUCAGGAAAGACAAACAUUCCUUUUCCAAACAAAGGAAAACCACCGAGGUGGGGACGCGCGGCCCAUCGUUGCUUCUGGCUCGGAUGCCAGAUGCGGAGACGGCGGCUCUGCUCGCCUGUUGGUGGGGCGGGCUGAGGGAAGGCUCGCUUUCGCUGACUGAUCGGGAUUCAGCCGUGCAGCGAUAAAAGGAAGUUUUAUGCUAGGGAAACUUCGGUGAAAAUGAAUCUGCACCCGGGGUUUUGACAGGCAGCCAAGAUCAGCAGAGCGCCCCCCCUCCCACCGUGCAGCAGAGAGGGAUCCCCGCGCCCCCUCGUGUCCGGGGGGCCAGGAGCCCUUUCCGCUCUGGAGCAGAGCACGGCUCUCCACGGCUGCACCUUCCACAGUCCAGUUCAGAUGUAGCCAGGAGGUACAGGGUGAGAAAUAUCCCUGGUAUGUUCCUGGAGAAAAGAUGGAUAAGAAGGAGCAGCUAAUGAGAGCUUUCCCAAAGCCACAGGGUUGUAAAGAAGAAAGAGUAAAAGGGCAUUUUCUGACUUCCACGUCUCGGCCUUGCAGCUCUGCCUCCUCCUGAGCCCGAAGAUUGCUCGAGCUUCCCACAUUCCCUGCUUUGGCAACAGCUCCAGUGCCUCAUCCACCCGAAAGCUUUUCCCAUCAUCCCACAACACACAGCAUUGCUGAACCGGAGCCCCUGCCA